GGGUCAGUAGCUGAGUCUGGCUCCAGCGCCCGCCCGUUAAGCGGGAGCACGCGGGUUCGAAUCCCGCCUGACCCU
rnacentral:tRNA from 1 species